AAGAGCCGCUGAGUGGGGAGGAGAGAGGGACAGAGAGCCUGCUUCUUUAAAGGAGCAAAGCGGGAGAGGAGCCGCUUACACGAGUGUAAGCAGCUCCUGUCCGGUUGGCUCCUUUAAAGCAAGCAGGCUCUCUGUCCCUCUCUCCUCCCCACUCAGCUCGCUACA
rnacentral:miRNA from 1 species